UGCCAGCCGCCGCGGUAAUACGAACUGUGCGAACGUUAUUCGGAAUCACUGGGCUUACAGGGUGCGUAGGCGGCUUGUUAAGCAGGGUGUGAAAUCCCUCGGCUCAACCGAGGAAUUGCGCCCUGAACUGGCGAGCUUGAGUGGGACAGAGGUGUGUGGAACUUCCAGUGGAGCGGUGAAAUGUGUUGAUAUUGGAAGGAACGCCAGAGGCGAAAGCGGCACACUGGGUCUCAACUGACGCUGAGGCACGAAAGCCAGGGGAGCAAACGGGAUUAGAUACCCCGGUAGUCCUGGCUGUAAACGAUGAGCACUAGCUGGCAGCGGCGGAUGCCGUUGCCAACGUAGCGAAAGUGUUAAGUGCUCCGCCUGGGGAGUAUGGUCGCAAGGCUGAAACUCAAAGAAAUUGACGG
rnacentral:rRNA from 1 species